UACGUAGGGAGCGGGCGUUGUCCGGAAUUACUGGGUGUAAAGGGAGCGUAGGCGGGCGAGAAAGUUGAAUGUUAAAUCUACCGGCUUAACUGGUAGCUGCGUUCAAAACUUCUUGUCUUGAGUGAAGUAGAGGCAGGCGGAAUUCCUAGUGUAGCGGUGAAAUGCGUAGAUAUUAGGAGGAACACCAGUGGCGAAGGCGGCCUGCUGGGCUUUAACUGACGCUGAGGCUCGAAAGCGUGGGGAGCAAACAGG
rnacentral:rRNA from 1 species